rnacentral:rRNA from 1 species
CAGGCUUAACACAUGCAAGUCGAGGGGCAGCAUGGUCUUAGCUUGCUAAGGCCGAUGGCGACCGGCGCACGGGUGAGUAACACGUAUCCAACCUGCCGUCUACUCUUGGACAGCCUUCUGAAAGGAAGAUUAAUACAAGAUGGCAUCAUGAGUCCGCAUGUUCACAUGAUUAAAGGUAUUCCGGUAGACGAUGGGGAUGCGUUCCAUUAGAUAGUAGGCGGGGUAACGGCCCACCUAGUCUUCGAUGGAUAGGGGUUCUGAGAGGAAGGUCCCCCACAUUGGAACUGAGACACGGUCCAAACUCCUACGGGAGGCAGCAGUGAGGAAUAUUGGUCAAUGGGCGAGAGCCUGAACCAGCCAAGUAGCGUGAAGGAUGACUGCCCUAUGGGUUGUAAACUUCUUUUAUAAAGGAAUAAAGUCGGGUAUGGAUACCCGUUUGCAUGUACUUUAUGAAUAAGGAUCGGCUAACUCCGUGCCAGCAGCCGCGGUAAUACGGAGGAUCCGAGCGUUAUCCGGAUUUAUUGGGUUUAAAGGGAGCGUAGAUGGAUGUUUAAGUCAGUUGUGAAAGUUUGCGGCUCAACCGUAAAAUUGCAGUUGAUACUGGAUAUCUUGAGUGCAGUUGAGGCAGGCGGAAUUCGUGGUGUAGCGGUGAAAUGCUUAGAUAUCACGAAGAACUCCGAUUGCGAAGGCAGCCUGCUAAGCUGCAACUGACAUUGAGGCUCGAAAGUGUGGGUAUCAAACAGGAUUAGAUACCCUGGUAGUCCACACGGUAAACGAUGAAUACUCGCUGUUUGCGAUAUACGGCAAGCGGCCAAGCGAAAGCGUUAAGUAUUCCACCUGGGGAGUACGCCGGCAACGGUGAAACUCAAAGGAAUUGACGGGGGCCCGCACAAGCGGAGGAACAUGUGGUUUAAUUCGAUGAUACGCGAGGAACCUUACCCGGGCUUAAAUUGCAGAUGAAUUACGGUGAAAGCCGUAAGCCGCAAGGCAUCUGUGAAGGUGCUGCAUGGUUGUCGUCAGCUCGUGCCGUGAGGUGUCGGCUUAAGUGCCAUAACGAGCGCAACCCUUGUUGUCAGUUACUAACAGGUUCUGCUGAGGACUCUGACAAGACUGCCAUCGUAAGAUGUGAGGAAGGUGGGGAUGACGUCAAAUCAGCACGGCCCUUACGUCCGGGGCUACACACGUGUUACAAUGGGGGGUACAGAGGGCCGCUACCACGCGAGUGGAUGCCAAUCCCAAAAACCUCUCUCAGUUCGGACUGGAGUCUGCAACCCGACUCCACGAAGCUGGAUUCGCUAGUAAUCGCGCAUCAGCCACGGCGCGGUGAAUACGUUCCCGGGCCUUGUACACACCGCCCGUCAAGCCAUGGGAGCCGGGGGUACCUGAAGUGCGUAACCGCGAGGAGCGCCCUAGGGUAAAACUGGUGACUGGGGCU